GCGAGAGUGGCGGAACAGGUAUACGCGCACGCCUUAGGAGCGUGUGCCUUCGGGCAUGGGGGUUCGAUUCCCCCCUCUCGCACCA
rnacentral:tRNA from 1 species